rnacentral:tRNA from 1 species
GUCCUCGUGGUGUAAUGGAUAACACUGAAGAUUCCGGUUCUUCCGCUGGGGGUUCGAUUCCCUCCGAGGGCACCA